rfam:Erinaceus europaeus unplaced genomic scaffold scaffold00502, whole genome shotgun sequence
GGAUGUGAGGGUGAUCUGGCUGUGACAUCUGUCACCCCACUGAUCACCAGGGUUGAUUCGCUGAUCUGGCUGGCUUAGUGGGUGUUCCCUUCCUCCCUCACCGCUCCAUGUGCGUCCCUCCUGAAGCUGCACACUUGGUCAGAGAGGACGGCCUUCCCCAAACAGAGACGGGCCGGUUUUCAGUCAACGGUAUACGAGUACCUGUGCUCCCCUGCUAGAACCUUCAAACAAGCUCUCAAGAAAGGCAACAAAAUUCCUACUGUCACCACGUUUCCUAAAGAUUGACUUGGAAGAGAAAGUGAGGAAAGAUAAAACAAAACUCCUCUGGCCCACUUAAGAUAUCCCCUAGCACUGGUUGAAAUGCUAGUUGAGAUUCCCU